rnacentral:rRNA from 1 species
GACGAACGCUGGCGGCGUGCUUAACACAUGCAAGUCGAACGAUGACGACCGAGCUUGCUCGGUCUGAUUAGUGGCGAACGGGUGAGUAACACGUGAGCAACCUGCCCUUCACUCUGGGAUAACCUCGGGAAAUCGGGGCUAAUACCGGAUAUGAGCUCCUGUCGCAUGGCGGGUGUUGGAAAGUUUUUCGGUGAAGGAUGGGCUCGCGGCCUAUCAGUUUGUUGGUGAGGUAGUGGCUCACCAAGGCGAUGAUGGGUAGCCGGCCUGAGAGGGCGACCGGCCACACUGGGACUGAGACACGGCCCAGACUCCUACGGGAGGCAGCAGUGGGGAAUAUUGCACAAUGGGCGAAAGCCUGAUGCAGCGACGCCGCGUGAGGGAUGACGGCCUUCGGGUUGUAAACCUCUUUCAGCAGGGAAGAAGCGAAAGUGACGGUACCUGCAGAAGAAGCGCCGGCUAACUACGUG